GUACAUCGGAUUCUUACGAAAUUUAAGCCCAACCCGGAAUAAGAGGAUGAGUGAUACACGGACUUCUUCUGCUACUUAGGAAGUGAAGCGGACGUAGAUCGAGUCAAGAGCAAGGAUUGCACGGAUAGAUCGAUCAUAUAGUUGAAAUAUAUAACGUCUAGAAAUGUAAAUUUUAGUAUGAAUGUUGUGAAUUCUUUUAUAGAACGUUUAACAUUUUAGCUUUUGGAACCUUCU
rnacentral:lncRNA from 1 species